GGGAUGGAGAUAUCUCUCUCUCUCUCUCUCUCUCUCUCUCUCUCUCUCUCUCUCUCUAUAUAUAUAUAUAUAUAUAUAUGUUUAUAUAUAUAUUUAUAUUUAUAUAUAUAUUUAUAUUUAUAUGUAUAUGUUUAUAUAUAUAUUUAUAUAUAUAUAUAUAUAUAUAUAUAUAUAGAGAGAGAGAGAGAGAGAGAGAGAGAGAGAGAGAGGUGGAUAUGGGCG
rnacentral:miRNA from 1 species